rnacentral:rRNA from 1 species
GAAGAUGCAGUGUACCCGCGGCUAGACGGAAAGACCCCGUGAACCUUUACUGCAGCUUGACACUGAACUUUGACCUUACUUGUGUAGGAUAGGUGCGACGCUUUGAAGCUGGUACGCUAGUUCCAGUGGAGCCGUCCUAGAAAUACCACCCUGGUAAUGUUGAGGUUCUAACUCUGUCCCGUGAUCCGGGACGAGGACCGUGUCUGGUGGGUAGUUUGACUGGGGCGGUCUCCUCCUAAAGAGUAACGGAGGAGUACGAAGGUGCGCUCAGCGUGGUCGGAAAUCACGCGUAGAGUAUAAAGGCAAAAGCGCGCUUAACUGCGAGACCCACAAGUCGAGCAGGUACGAAAGUAGGUCUUAGUGAUCCGGUGGUUCUGUAUGGAAGGGCCAUCGCUCAACGGAUAAAAGGUACUCUGGGGAUAACAGGCUGAUACCGCCCAAGAGUUCAUAUCGACGGCGGUGUUUGGCACCUCGAUGUCGGCUCAUCUCAUCCUGGGGCUGAAGCAGGUCCCAAGGGUAUGGCUGUUCGCCAUUUAAAGAGGUACGCGAGCUGGGUUUAGAACGUCGUGAGACAGUUCGGUCCCUAUCUACCGUGGGCGCUGGAAAUUUGAGAGGAUCUGCUCCUAGUACGAGAGGACCAGAGUGGACGAACCUCUGGUGUACCGGUUGUGACGCCAGUCGCAUCGCCGGGUAGCUAUGUUCGGAAGGGAUAACCGCUGAAAGCAUCUAAGCGGGAAGCCUACCUCAAGAUAAGAUUUCCCUAGGACUUUAUGUCCUCUAAAGAGCCGUUCGAGACUAGGACGUUGAUAGGUUGGAUGUGGAAGCAUAGUGAUAUGUGAAGCUGACCAAUACUAAUUGCUCGUGAGGCUUGACUAUACAACACCCAAGCAGUUG